AGCGACGUGCGUCAGCCUCACAGUCGACGUUCUAGUUACGCGGACACGUCGUGUUGGACGACUUGCUUAAAUAUCCGAUUUUUUUCACCUAAAAACCUCACAUUUUUAUUAUUUUGAUUUGAGCCCCGCAAGUUUUGAAAUGUAUAUCGCGUCAAUGGAUAUGACCAAUUCUAAACACAUGGACGCCGUGCGGGUAACCUUGAAGCCUGCAACCAAACUACGGUGGACUCAACUUCGCGUGGCCGCAGAGGAGGACGAGGCCUUCGGACAGUGCCGACGGAGCGCCGCCGGUGUCAAGUCCACGGUUACCAGGAAGCGCCAGGGACGGGACCGUCGUCGAAAGUUGACCAACGGCCCUUAUAAAGUGGAGACGAGAGAGGAGAGACGAGUUGCGGCCUGUGCUCGGCGACUUCACCCGGGAGCAAUGGCGCCGGAGAACACGACGCAGUACUUGAUAAGCGAGCAUGAAGACAACAUGGCGACGAGUAGCAAAAAUCGCGAGAACGAAACUCCUGCGCCCGGACUUUGAGGAAAUGUUUGGCCCGUGUUGGUAGCACCCAGGACGGAAUGACGAAGCAGCAACUUUUCCCCCCUCGGAAAAGUGAGCGCCCAGUAAGGGAGUGCUAUUCCCCCAGAAAAAGCCUCCCGCCGCCCCGGCCUCUCUCGACGAGCGAGCGGAGCAAAAGGCACCUGAGCUGGCGGUGUGGCCACUGCUUGAAAAGUCAGGUAACCAAGCAGCAAAAGGGCAGGUAUUGUUGCACUGCUUUGUCCUUCAAUGGUGCCAUGCAACCCUCUGUCACUGUGAGCGUUUUCCAGGUCAGCCCUGCCUGUCUGCCCACCGGGGACCGCAGGCUCUGCUGCGGGAGACCCAGGAUCUCCUGAAAGAGGCCAAAAUAGAGGGGGAUGAGGACGGAAAUAGAUGUGGCACAAGCGUCCCUCGGACCCUUCUUGACUAAUGAGCCGGGACGACAGGAAGGGUCAACUCCCUCAGAGCAGCGCAGGCAGCUGUGUCAUUGUCAAAUGUUGUCGAGGGCGGCGGCGAGUAAACAGCAGCUGGCCGUUACCUGAGCGCCGAGCCAGCAGCUCCGAGCCCGCGCCAGGAAAAAGUCGGCAGCCAUCUUUGACGCGCCUACGCCGUGUGGCUCAGCGGAGGUAUCGGCGCCCACCGCACGGCGGCACUCCGAAUCCACGCCCGCUCGUCGCAGCCGCAUCAUGAAAAGGAGCACAUCAUAGCUGAACUAAAGAAGUCGCAUCUGGG